AGAACGAACGCUGGCGGCAUGCCUAAUACAUGCAAGUCGAACGAACUCUUCGGAGUUAGUGGCGCACGGGUGCGUAACGCGUGGGAAUCUGCCCCUCGGUUCGGAAUAACAGUUGGAAACGACUGCUAAUACCGGAUGAUGACGAAAGUCCAAAGAUUUAUCGCCAAGGGAUGAGCCCGCGUAGGAUUAGCUAGUUGGUGAGGUAAAGGCUCACCAAGGCAACGAUCC
rnacentral:rRNA from 1 species